rnacentral:rRNA from 1 species
GAAGUAAAAAGUCGUAACAAGGUUUCCGUAGGUGAACCUGCGGAAGGAUCAUUAAUAAACCUAGUCGUUCGCGUACACAGGGGCAACCCUCGCGCGAUGUCAGCAAUACCUAGGUCACCCUUGAAUAAACUACCCUUGUUGCUUUGGCGGGCCGCCCCUCGGGGCCAGCGGCUUCGGCUGCUGCGCGCCCGCCAGAGGACCACAACUCUUGUUUUUAGUGAUGUCUGAGUACUAUAUAAUAGUUAAAACUUUCAACAACGGAUCUCUUGGUUCUGGCAUCGAUGAAGAACGCAGCGAAAUGCGAUAAGUAAAUGUGAAUUGCAGAAUUCAGUGAAUCAUCGAAUCUUUGAACGCACAUUGCGCCCUUUGGUAUUCCGAAGGGCAUGCCUGUUCGAGCGUCAUUAUAACCACUCAAGCCUUCGCUUGGUAUUGGGGUUCGCGGCUGCGCGGCCCCUAAAAUCAGUGGCGGUGCCUGUCGGCUCUACGCGUAGUAAUACUCCUCGCGUCUGGGUUCCGGUAGGUUGCUUGCCAGCAACCCCUAAAUUUUUUACAGGUUGACCUCGGAUCAGGUAGGGAUACCCGCUGAACUUAAGCAUAUCAAUAAGCGGAGGAAAAGAAACCAACAGGGAUUACCUCAGUAACGGCGAGUGAAGCGGUAACAGCUCAAAUUUGAAAGCUAGCUCUUUUAGGGUUCGCAUUGUAAUUUGUAGAAGAUGCUUCGGGUGUGGCCCCGGUCUAAGUUCCUUGGAACAGGACGUCAUAGAGGGUGAGAAUCCCGUAUGUGACUGGGUGCUUUCGCUCAUGUGAAGCUCUUUCGACGAGUCGAGUUGUUUGGGAAUGCAGCUCAAAAUGGGUGGUAAAUUUCAUCUAAAGCUAAAUAUUGGCCAGAGACCGAUAGCGCACAAGUAGAGUGAUCGAAAGAUGAAAAGCACUUUGGAAAGAGAGUUAAACAGUACGUGAAAUUGUUGAAAGGGAAGCGCUUGCAACCAGACUUGCGCGCUGAUGAUCAUCCGGGCUUCUGUCCGGUGCACUCGUCUGCGCUCAGGCCAGCAUCGGUUUCGGUGGUGGGAUAAAGGCCUUGGGAAUGUAGCUUCUUUCGGGGAGUGUUAUAGCCCUCGGUGCAAUGCCGCCUACCGGGACCGAGGACCGCGCUUCGGCUAGGAUGCUGGCGUAAUGGUUGUAAGCGACCCGUCUUGAAACACGGACCAAGGAGUCUAACAUCUAUGCGAGUGUUUGGGUGUCAAACCCAUACGCGUAAUGAAAGUGAACGGAGGUGAGAACCCUUAAGGGUGCAUCAUCGACCGAUCCUGAUGUCUUCGGAUGGAUUUGAGUAAGAGCAUAGCUGUUGGGACCCGAAAGAUGGUGAACUAUGCGUGAAUAGGGUGAAGCCAGAGGAAACUCUGGUGGAGGCUCGCAGCGGUUCUGACGUGCAAAUCGAUCGUCAAAUUUGCGUAUAGGGGCGAAAGACUAAUCGAACCAUCUAGUAGCUGGUUCCUGCCGAAGUUUCCCUCAGGAUAGCAGUGUUGAAUUCAGUUUUAUGAGGUAAAGCGAAUGAUUAGAGGCCUUGGGGUUGCAACAACCUUAACCUAUUCUCAAACUUUAAAUAUGUAAGAAGUCCUUGUUACUUAAUGAACGUGGAC